rnacentral:rRNA from 1 species
AACGAACGCUGGCGGCGCGCCUAAUACAUGCAAGUCGAGCGAGAAGACGUAGCAAUACGUUUGUAAGGCGGCGAACGGGUGAGGAAUACAUGGGUAACCUACCCUCGAGUGGGGAAUAACUAGCCGAAAGGUUAGCUAAUACCGCGUACGCUCCUUGGACUUCGGUUCAGGGAGGAAAGCGAUACCGUGGGUAUCGCGCUCUUGGAUGGGCUCAUGUCCUAUCAGCUUGUUGGUGAGGUAACGGCUCACCAAGGCUUCGACGGGUAGCUGGUCUGAGAGGACGAUCAGCCACACUGGCACUGCGACACGGGCCAGACUCCUACGGGAGGCAGCAGUAAGGAAUAUUGCGCAAUGGGCGAAAGCCUGACGCAGCGACGCCGCGUGGGGGAUGAAGGUCUUCGGAUUGUAAACCCCUUUCGGGAGGGAAGAUGGAACGAGCAAUCGUUCGGACGGUACCUCCA